AUGAAUUUGAUGCACAACAAUGGAGGAAGAAUUCAAGAUUUUGGUUUGAAGAAUGUGCAUGGAGGAUGGUCUGUUUGGUCUUCAUUUGGUGCGUGCGAAGGAAUGUGUGGUAGAAUAGGAAAGCGUACCCGCAGAAGACAAUGCAAUAAUCCUCCCCCUUCCAAUGGUGGUCUUGAUUGUAUUGGCCAUGAUACUGAAUUCAUGGAAUGUGAAUUACCAGGCUGCACGAUGUCUCAGUUCAAAGAGCUUGUUCAAAAUGACCCCAUUAAAUUGGAGCAGUAUACUUAUUUGGAUGCAAUUCAUUGCAAAUAUCCAUCAUUGGUUGAGCGCUGCAUUAAAGCUACCUGUCAUUUUGAAACCAUCCAGUCUGUCCUGGUUGACGAGGCUAAUUCCUAUUGGAACGCAUUGCACUGUAUUAAACAUGGCUUUGGUUGCCCUGGUAAGUUAUUUUUUCUUCCUAACUUUUAGCCUUGCAAAUGCUAUGCGUGUAACCAAUCUAAUGGGCUAACAGUGGUUUCGAUAGGUACUUCCCUAACGGGCUUUACGAAAUGAUAAUUUUUGUUAAAUUAAUGCUUAUUUUGAUCUCUGUUAUAAAAAGAAAAGAAAAGUGCGGUAGAUUUAUUGG
rnacentral:lncRNA from 1 species